rnacentral:lncRNA from 1 species
GCUCCAAUUUUGUUGAAAAGCUGGUGAUCCAUGAAGGCUUGAGCAAGAUCAUUUUAGAGUCUUUUCCAAUUUUAACUAUUCUGUAAUUCUGUGUUUCCCAGUCAACAAAGGUGCUGCUGGGACCAGGUAGGAUAACCCUGUCCCCAGGUCAGUCUCUUCCAGAUGUGCUCAUUCUCCUUCCCCAGCUCAGUGCAUCCCCUCCAAGCCAGCACAAAAUAAAUUCCCACUUUUCCCCGACGCCGCUUUUACACGCACACUCCAUUCCACUCUUCCCAUGGGGCGUUUCCCACUGGAUCUGUUCUGUUGUGGAGUCCAACAGAUGGCUGCCAAAAAAAAUAAUAUCCAAGACAAACAAACAAAGUAGCCCCAACAGCAUGGCUGGAGUUGGUGUGGUGCAAUUGGAGUGCAAUGCGGUUCGCUGACCGCCUCCAUCGCUCCCUGUCAUUACUGGUAAAUUAUUCAAUCUUUUAUCAAGGAAAAUGCUUUAAACAUGCAAUCAUCUGUUGUUUAUCUUGUGUUCUAAAAGUGUGUGUGGCUGUGCCAGCUGUGUCCUAAAUUCUUUCAUUUUAUCUGCCCAGUUGUACACAGACGCCAAUGUAAAUAAGUACCAGGUACACACACACACCUACACUCGUAGGAUCCAAUCCUCUUCUGAUCUUUCUCUUUCAUCUCCAAGGAAAGAGAAGGGGGAAAAAAACACUGUUCCACCUCCACUGUGCUCACACAACCCCAUCACCACCAGCUUGCCCUGCUCCAGUUCCAGUGGGGAUUUUCCUGAGCAAUGUGGGACUGGGAUGUUUUGUAGCACAGAUUUGCCGAGUGACCUUAGUGACCGAAUGGCUUCAAGGGGUUAUUUUAGGCAUCGCUGCUUAUUCGAGGCAAAUCUCAGCUCUGUGGAGGUGUGGAAGGGAUGAUUCAGCAGAGGAACCUGCAUGGCUGGAAACAUUCCAUGGCCAUGGAAAACAGAAAUUUUGUGGACUUCUUGCUGGGCAGCUGACAGAAAUCUCCUUUUUUGUCCUCACAAGGUGGCUCUGCUGUAAUCAGCUGCUCCUCCCAGCAGUGCAGGGGGUCAGUCCUGCAGUCUGGAUUAAAUAAAAAGUGCCACACAUCAU